rnacentral:rRNA from 1 species
AGUGAACGCUGGCGGUAGGCCUAACACAUGCAAGUCGAACGGCAGCACAGUAAGAGCUUGCUCUUACGGGUGGCGAGUGGCGGACGGGUGAGGAAUACAUCGGAAUCUACUUUUUCGUGGGGGAUAACGUAGGGAAACUUACGCUAAUACCGCAUACUACCUACGGGUGAAAUCAGGGGAUCUUCGGACCUUGCGCGAUUGAAUGAGCCGAUGUCGGAUUAGCUAGUUGGCGGGGUAAAGGCCCACCAAGGCAACGAUCCGUAGCUGGUCUGAGAGGAUGAUCGGCCACACUGGAACUGAGACACGGUCCAGACUCCUACGGGAGGCAGCAGUGGGGAAUCUUGGACAAUGGGCGCAAGCCUGAUCCAGCCAUACCGCGUGGGUGAAGAAGGCCUUCGGGUUGUAAAGCCCUUUUGUUGGGAAAGAAAAGCAGCAGGUUAAAACCCCGCUGUUCUGACGGUACCCAAAGAAUAAGCACCGGCUAACUUCGUG